rnacentral:lncRNA from 1 species
AACUGCGUCAUCUGGUUCCACACUCGCUCCAGUGAUGUUUGAGCCCCAGCAUAGAUCAGCAUGCCAGGAAGCAGCCCACCGGACCCACCCCUGAUCAUGGCACUGGACAUUGUUUUCCGUGCUUUUCUCAGGCUGGUUUCUGCCUGUCCCAACCCUGGCCAUGGCUGACAAGGGGCCCAGGGACACUGGAGCAGAGAGACCUGCUGGUCCUUGGGGUUUCUUGCAAGCUGCCUCUAAAGGGAAAUAUCCCAGGAGUGAUGAAAACUUGAAGAUCGAGGAUUGGAUAUAAGCUCAGAGGUGAAGGAGGGAAAUUCCUCGGGUCAACUUUAGCGGACUGAUCCACGGGGUCUGCCAAGAGACAGGAGCUCGAGGGUUAAACCCAAGCACUCGGGAGUCAGAUGUAUGAAUCUGAAUCUCAGCCUCUCGGCUUGCUGUGUAAUCUCAGGCAAGUGACUUUUCUGUUCUGUAAAUCAGGCUGAUAGCGGGGGAACCUCUCUCACAGGGCUGCUACAAAGAUUGCAUGAGAUUUUGCUCAACAAAUAUUAGCUGUUGGCUCCAGAGUUUAAUACCUCUGAUCACUACAAGCUUUGAAGGCAAGAUAAAAUAACUUCAACAUGUGAGUACCAGGAGGCCUUGGUGAAAAGCAAGCCUGCCGGGAGAUAAUGCCUGGCUGGGUCAGGAUUCUUGGUGCUUAUUGACCACUGGGCACUUCAGAGCAGAACUCAUCAAAGCCUCUGUAUUGGGACAAGGGCUAGGGUGGAGGGGAGGAUUGGGAAGGGAGAGGGGAGACUGUCCUUCUUUCUACUAAAAGUUACUGGCAAGAGAAUGGGAAUUAACCAGGCCUGGAAAAGUAAUUUAGGUAUUAGAACUUUGAACUCUUUUUUUAAAAACAAAAGACAAAAACAGCUUUAUUGGGAUAUAAUUGACAAAUAAAAAUUGUGUAUAUUUAAGGUGUACAACUUGAUGUUUUGAUAUAUGUACACAUUAUGACAUGAUCACUACCAUCAAGCUAAUUCACAUAUCCAUCACCUCAUACAGUCACUAUUUUCUUCUUUGUGUGUGUGAGAGAUGAGAACACUUAAGAUCUAGUGAAUCAUCUGUGAACACUUCCUGUGAACGUGUGACUAUGAUUAUGGAACACUCUGUUGCAUCAAGAUGGCCAGAGAUUGUCUCAGAGUCCAGGCAGUGGGAGGAGGGGGGAUUUGUUUCCUGGCUGGGUGGUCGUAGGGCAUCAAGGGAUGAGCAGCUUUGGUUGUCUGGGAUUUCAGCAGCUUGAGGGGAGCUGUAGGGCCCCAGAGCUGUCGCUGUGGCUGUGGUGUCAGAAAUGUAAGCAAGGUGCCUCCAUGGAGGUUAGCGAGGGUGCCCCUCUGAAUGCCGGGUGGAAUGCAACCUUUCGCAUGGAGGAGGCCCUCAGCAGCUGACCUCUGUCUUCCCUGUGUAGAGGGAGGGAGGCUGAGGCUGGGGCUGAGCGAGGGGUAAAGUAAGCCACGUGUCUCAUCAGCUAGCCUGCAGCAAGCACAGCCCUCUGGGAGGGCUGGUUCUAUCCUCCUCCUUGGUGUGAAAUCCAUCAAUCUAAUAGGGAUCCUUAUUUUCCCAGCCACCAAGUCACAAUGAGCAAUAAUCUCUUCUUGUUGGUGCAUAUAAAUUUGCUUCAUUCUUUUUUAAACAGCUGCCUUGUGUCGCCUUUUGCAUUCAGCCCAAGUCCAGCCUAGGAGGACAGCCUUAUCUUAAGUCACUGAGGGAACUAGCUUGCCUAAC